AGAGUUUGAUCCUGGCUCAGGAUGAACGCUAGCUACAGGCUUAACACAUGCAAGUCGAGGGGCAGCAUUGGGGUAGCAAUACUCAGAUGGCGACCGGCGCACGGGUGAGUAACACGUAUCCAACCUGCCGCUUACUCGGGGAUAGCCUUUCGAAAGAAAGAUUAAUACCCGAUGGUAUAAAGAGUUCGCAUGUUCUCUUUAUUAAAGAAUUUCGGUAAGCGAUGGGGAUGCGUUCCAUUAGAUAGUUGGCGGGGUAACGGCCCACCAAGUCUACGAUGGAUAGGGGUUCUGAGAGGAAGGUCCCCCACAUUGGAACUGAGACACGGUCCAAACUCCUACGGGAGGCAGCAGUGAGGAAUAUUGGUCAAUGGACGAGAGUCUGAACCAGCCAAGUAGCGUGAAGGAUGACUGCCCUAUGGGUUGUAAACUUCUUUUAUAAGGGAAUAAAGUGAGGGACGUGUCCCUUUUUGUAUGUACCUUAUGAAUAAGGAUCGGCUAACUCCGUGCCAGCAGCAGC
rnacentral:rRNA from 1 species